GAUGAAGAACGUAGCGAAAUGCGAUAAGUAAUGUGAAUUGCAGAGUUCAGUGAAUCAUCGAAUCUUUGAACGCACAUUGCGCCCGCCAGCAUUCUGGCGGGCAUGCCUGUUCGAGCGUCAUUUCAACCCUCGACCUCCCCUUGGGGAGGUCGGCGUUGGGGACCGGCAGCACACCGCCGGCCCUGAAAUGGAGUGGCGGCCCGUCCGCGGCGACCUCUGCGCAGUAAUACAGCUCGCACCGGGACCCCGACGCGGCCACGCCGUAAAACACCCAACUUCUGAACGUUGACCUCGAAUCAGGUAGGACUACCCGCUGAACUUAAGCAUAUCAAUAAGCGGAGGA
rnacentral:misc_RNA from 1 species